UUUUUUUUUUUCUGCAAUUGCAUUUAAGUAAAAAGAAAGGUUCUCAAAGAGAGACAAGAUUGGCCAUUUCAACAGCUUUGAAUCAAUAGAAAUUGAAUUUGAUCACUCUAUCAAUACAACUCUUAAUCUGUAAGUGUUCUAAUAUAAUUUUCUCUUUUGAUUUCUCUUCUAUUGUACUAAAUUAAAUUUAUUUCUUUUAAGUGAGAAUUGAGGUUUUGAAUUAGGAAGGUUAGGGUUUUCAAUUGAGUGGUGUAUGAGUUUUAUUUUGGGAUACAAUUUCAUCUUGGAUUAUAUUUUACUGUUCGAUCUGUUCAGAUAUUGUAAUUCCAUUAAUCCUCGCUUUGUUGGGAAUCUGUUAAUCCACAGAAUUAGCUUUUUGUUGUCUUUGUAAUGGUUUCUCUAUUGAAGUAUGACUAUAUGUUUAGCACACUAGGUCACUAGUAUAGCAAAAUUUGUAAAGGCUAUGUUUGGAAUUGGGUAGGACUUAGGAGGUGACACAGUAAACAGAGAUCACCAUUUUCAGCAAUUAAUAGUGGAUUGGGUUCACAUGCUCACUCCUUAGGCUAUGUUUUUUUUUUUUUUUUUGUUGUUGUUGUUGUUUCACUCAUGUAUUGUUCUUGCAGUGCUUGUGAAACAUCUUUCACAAACUGUUGAACCUUUGUACAGUUUAUCUCUUUCAGUGAAAUGAAGUGAUAUUUGGCCAAAUAAAAAAAACAUAAAAAAACGUUUAGCAAAACCUGGCAUGUAGAUCAACCUAACUAUUGCCUGUUGUAUUAUAAUUGAUAACUAGUUUUCUUAAAAAAACAUUAUUUCUUUGAAUGUUUUAUGUAUAAUUAAAAAAAAAAAACACCUAUCUUAGUUUUGAAAUGACAAAAGAUGGUUUGUUGAUCUUGCUCUACUUAUGUUCAGUUGUUGCAUUAUUGCUUAUCUGUUGUUCUUUGAUUCUUUGUUUUAAGUUGUUCAUCUUCUAACCCAAUUAAUAAGAAUAGGAACACCUUCCUAAUUAAGUUUAUUAAAAUGAAUGUAAGAUAUCCUUGUAUGAUUUCUUGUUGUAAUUCUUUUUACCUUUAGCAUUGCGAAAUAUUGCAACCAAACUUUUAUGAGUGAUGAUAUUGAGUUUACCUAUCUUUUGUGCUUUGCAUGUUGGCCAAAAUAACUGGUAAUAGAGUUUUUGCUUCAGGGAAAGAGAGGAAAAGCCAGACUGUUUGCAGUGACAUUUACCCCCACUUACCCCCAUUUGCUGAGUAUGCUCUCUCUCUCUCUCUCUCUCUCUCUCUCUCUCUCUCUCUCUCUCACACGUGCAUAUUAUAAAAAGUGUGUUGUUAAUCAAAAGGUAAAAUGAGAGGUAGUUGUUUAUUUUGCUAUUGCAUACCUCAAUUACUUGGUAUGGACAUUGGUAAUUUACAUGUUUUUUACCUACAUGAUCUUUUGAGGUGUAAAACUCCAUCUUGUUAUUUGAAUCUAUAUCCUACCUAGUGAUGGCAUUCAACUGGUCAUUCUACUUUUCUCAGAGAUUUGAACUCUGAUCUCAUUAAGUAUUUUGUACGCAGGACCAUGGUGGGUUUGAUCUUGCCAACUUGCUUGAACAUGAAAAAAUCUCCCAAUGUACCACAUGAAUGUAUAAUUUAGGUAAGAAUUAUGUGCAUGUCCAUAUACAUUGGCUUGUAUAGACGUUUCUAAGUAUUAUAUCUACUGCACUUAUUGUAAACUUGUACUUUUGUCGAGUCAAACCACCACUGGUCUGAUCAUAAUAAAAGUUGAUUUUACGAUGUACUGAUAUAUAUGUGCAUUCUUCUUAGAGAAAGAUUAUCCAGAUUGUUUAGUUGUAUAAUCUUGUUUUAAUGCCAUACUAAAUUUCUUUAUUCUAAUUUUCCAAGUCUUGCAGUUUUUUUACACGUUACUUCCUUAUCUUUCAUUUGUGCAGCCUACUAAUGAGAAAAUUCAAAAUCGGUGUAAUCCAUUAUUCAUUAAGUCAUACCUUCACUUACGAGUCAGGUGAGUGAGUCAUCAGAUUAUGAUGUUGCAUAUUAAAGUUGUUAUAAUUUUCUUUCCCUCUCCCGCAAAAGGGCAUUUGUUUGCCUGUUAUUAACUUUUCAAAGGCAUAUGACAAAGUUUUAAUAGAUGCAAUUGGAUGGGAGCAAUAGCAAUCACAAGAUCUGCUUAAUUUUUAUAAUUAGGUAAUUAUUUUUUCUCCAUGCAGAUCAUUAAUGGAUUUAAUGCCAAAACUGUCGGGGAUACCGUGUUAGAGCAGAUUACAUGGUAACAUACUAACACUACAGCUGGAGUCUAUUGUCUAUGGUUGGGAUCCAGUGCAGCAGAGUGGCCUUUUCCCAGCAAUGAAGCAGUGCAGUAGAGGGUACAGUGUUGCAGUAGUGUAGUGAUACUGCGGUGGUGUAUUGGAAUCUAUUGUCUUUAAUGUUUGUGGUUUUAGUGUGAAACCUUAUGAUUUGAUGAUGUAUUAUACAGGUUGAUCAGGAAUGUAAUUGGAUAGUAAUAAAAUUAUAUUCUUUUAUCAAUAAAACAUAAACAUUCUCCAAAUAGCAAUUGCAC
rnacentral:lncRNA from 1 species